CCGCCCUGGGGACAGAACCACUUGGAAGGCCUUGGGCCUUUGGACUCAGACAGAUUGAAGAAUGCCCUGGCUCUCCUAGGCCUCCAGCUUGCAGGUGGCGGAUCCUUGAUUUCUCGGCCUCCAUAAUCGCUGGGUCCAGCAAGCUGCUUGUGGGCCCAAGAGGAGCAGGCUCAAGAGAUCAGGACAUAAGCUACAGGUUUGUAUCACCCCAGAGAAGUCCAUCAAGAUCUGUGAGGGUUCUUUUUUUAAACC